UACGUAGGGGGCGAGCGUUGUCCGGAUUCAUUGGGCGUAAAGAGCUCGUAGGCGGCUUGGCAAGUCGGGUGUGAAAACUUCAGGCCCAACCUGGAGAUGCCACUCGAUACUGCUAUGGCUAGAGUCCGGUAGGGGACCACGGAAUUCCUGGUGUAGCGGUGAAAUGCGCAGAUAUCAGGAGGAACACCGGUGGCGAAGGCGGUGGUCUGGGCCGGCACUGACGCUGAGGAGCGAAAGCGUGGGGAGCGAACAGG
rnacentral:rRNA from 1 species